UACGAAGGGGGCUAGCGUUGCUCGGAAUGACUGGGCGUAAAGGGCGCGUAGGCGGACGGCUUUGUCGGGCGUGAAAUUCCAGGGCUUAACCUUGGGGCUGCGUUCGAGACGGGUUGUCUAGAGUUUGGAAGAGGGUCGUGGAAUUCCCAGUGUAGAGGUGAAAUUCGUAGAUAUUGGGAAGAACACCGGUGGCGAAGGCGGCGACCUGGUCCAUUACUGACGCUGAGGCGCGACAGCGUGGGGAGCAAACAGG
rnacentral:rRNA from 1 species